rnacentral:rRNA from 1 species
AACGAACGCUGGCGGCAGGCUUAACACAUGCAAGUCGGACGCCCCGCAAGGGGAGUGGCAGACGGGUGAGUAGCGCGUGGGAACAUACCCUUUCCUGCGGAAUAGCUCUGGGAAACUGGAAUUAAUACCGCAUACGCCCUACGGGGGAAAGAUUUAUCGGGGAAGGAUUGGCCCGCGUUGGAUUAGCUAGUUGGUGGGGUAAAGGCCUACCAAGGCGACGAUCCAUAGCUGGUCUGAGAGGAUGAUCAGCAACAUUGGGACUGAGACACGGCCCAAACUCCUACGGGAGGCAGCAGUGGGGAAUAUUGGACAAUGGGCGCAAGCAUGAUCCAGCCAUGCCGCGUGAGUGAUGAAGGCCUUAGGGUUGUAAAGCUCUUUCACCGAUGAAGGUAAUGACGGUAGUCGGAGAAGAAGCCCCGGCUAACUUCGUGCCAGCCGCCGCCGUAAAAC